rnacentral:lncRNA from 1 species
UGGUCUAAUUUCAUAUUGCCUGCCUAUGGCAUUUAUAGGAAUAGCAUCACUUUGGUCAGUUUCUGAUACUUCUAAGGGAUUGUAUAUGGUUUCAUCAUCAGAAGAAGAGGAAGUUUCAUUAUAUUCGGUUAGAAUGGUUAUUUUAUUUUUAUCUUUGCUAGUACUUUCACUUGGUAUCUUACUUUGUGUAGGUUCUUUUAUUUUUAUUCCUCCAAUUGUGUUAGUUUUUGGAGACGUAUUUUGUUCACUUAUAAUUUUCUGUAAGAAUUUUGACAUGUCAUGUAAUUCUGUCUUUGGACUUAGUGUUACUAUCUCAAUGGGGUUUUGUGAUGGAGGUAUCAUUUUUGUGAAA